rnacentral:rRNA from 1 species
UACGUAGGUGGCAAGCGUCGUCCGGAUUUACUGGGCGUAAAGAGCGCGCAGGCGGUCGUAUAAGUCGAAUGUGAAAGCCCCCGGCUCAACUGGGGAGGGUCAUUCGAUACUGUUCGACUCGAAGGCAGGAGAGGGAAGUGGAAUUCCGGGUGUAGUGGUGAAAUGCGUAGAUAUCCGGAGGAACACCAGUGGCGAAGGCGACUUUCUGGCCUGUUCUUGACGCUGAGGCGCGAAAGCUAGGGGAGCAAACGGG